GAAAGUGGGGGACCGCAAGGCCUCAUGCUAUAGGAGCGGCCGAUGUCUGAUUAGCUAGUUGGUGAGGUAAAGGCUCACCAAGGCGACGAUCAGUAGCUGGUCUGAGAGGACGAUCAGCCACACUGGGACUGAGACACGGCCCAGACUCCUACGGGAGGCAGCAGUGGGGAAUUUUGGACAAUGGGCGAAAGCCUGAUCCAGCAAUGCCGCGUGUGUGAAGAAGGCCUUCGGGUUGUAAAGCACUUUUGUCCGGAAAGAAAUGGCUCUGGUUAAUACCUGGGGUCGAUGACGGUACCGGAAGAAUAAGGACCGGCUAACUACGUGCCAGCAGCCGCGGUAAUACGUAGGGUCCAAGCGUUAAUCGGAAUUACUGGGCGUAAAGCGUGCGCAGGCGGUUGUGCAAGACCGAUGUGAAAUCCCCGAGCUUAACUUGGGAAUUGCAUUGGUGACUGCACGGCUAGAGUGUGUCAGAGGGGGGUAGAAUUCCACGUGUAGCAGUGAAAUGCGUAGAGAUGUGGAGGAAUACCGAUGGCGAAGGCAGCCCCCUGGGAUAACACUGACGCUCAUGCACGA
rnacentral:rRNA from 1 species